UACGUAAGGGGCUAGCGUUGUCCGGAAUCAUUGGGCGUAAAGCGCGUGUAGGCGGUCCGGUAAGUCCGCUGUGAAAGUCGGGGGCUCAACCCUCGAAUGCCGGUGGAUACUGUCGGGCUAGAGUACGGAAGAGGCGAGUGGAAUUCCUGGUGUAGCGGUGAAAUGCGCAGAUAUCAGGAGGAACACCAAUUGCGAAGGCAGCUCGCUGGGACGUUACUGACGCUGAGACGCGAAAGCGUGGGGAGCAAACAGG
rnacentral:rRNA from 1 species